rnacentral:rRNA from 1 species
GACGAACGCUGGCGGCGUGCUUAACACAUGCAAGUCGAACGGAAAGGCCCUGCUUUUGUGGGGUGCUCGAGUGGCGAACGGGUGAGUAACAAGUGAGUAACCUGCCCUUGACUUUGGGAUAACUUCAGGAAACUGGGGCUAAUACCGGAUAGGAGCUCCUGCUGCAUGGUGGGGGUUGGAAAGUUUCGGCGGUUGGGGAUGGACUCGCGGCUUAUCAGCUUGUUGGUGGGGUAGUGGCUUACCAAGGCUUUGACGGGUAGCCGGCCUGAGAGGGUGACCGGCCACAUUGGGACUGAGAUACGGCCCAGACUCCUACGGAAGGCAGCAGUGGGGAAUAUUGCACAAUGGGCGGAAGCCUGAUGCAGCAACGCCGCGUGCGGGAUGACGGCCUUCGGGUUGUAAACCGCUUUCGCCUGUGACGAAGCGUGAGUGACGGUAAUGGGUAAAGAAGCACCGGCUAACUACGUG